AGCAGCCGCGGUAAUUCCAGCUCCAAUAGCGUAUAUUAAAGUUGCUGCAGUUAAAAAGCUCGUAGUUGAAUUUCGGGACCAAUAUGUCGGUCGUGCCUCGGUACGUACUGGCAUCGUUGGUUUCUCCCUUCUGACGAACCAUGAUGUCAUUUAUUUGGUGUCGUGGGGAAUCAGGACUGUUACUUUGAAAAAUUAGAGUGUUUAAAGCAGGCUCACGCUUGAAUACAUUAGCAUGGAAUAAUGAAAUAGGACGUUUGAUUCUAUUUUGUUGGUUUCUAGGAUCGACGUAAUGAUUAAUAGGGAUAGUUGGGGGCAUUAGUAUUCAAUUGUCAGAGGUGAAAUUCUUGGAUUUAUUGAAGACUAACUACUGCGAAAGCAUUUGCCAAGGAUGUUUUCAUUAAUCAAGAACGAAAGUUAGGGGAUCGAAGACGAUCAGAUACCGUCGUAGUCUUAACCAUAAACUAUGCCGACUAGGGAUCGGAUGAUGUUAAUUUUUUAAUGACUCAUUCGGCGCCUUAAC
rnacentral:rRNA from 1 species